rnacentral:rRNA from 1 species
UACGUAGGGUGCAAGCGUUGUCCGGAAUUAUUGGGCGUAAAGAGCGCGUAGGCGGGUCUUUAAGUGAGGGGUGAAAGGUUCAGGGCUCAACCCGGACAUUGCCUUUCAUACUGGGGACCUUGAGUGCGGGAGGGGCGAGUGGAAUGGUCGGUGUAGCGGUGAAAUGCGUAGAUAUCGAUCGGAACACCCAUGGCGAAGGCAGCUCGCUGGCCUGCAACUGACGCUGAGGCGCGAAAGCGCGGGGAGCAAACAGG